rnacentral:rRNA from 1 species
UACGUAGGGGGCAAGCGUUGUCCGGAAUCAUUGGGCGUAAAGCGCGUGUAGGCGGCUUGGUAAGUCCGUUCUGAAAGCCCGGGGCUCAACCCCGGGAGGCGGAUGGAUACUGUCAAGCUUGAGUCCGGAAGAGGCGAGUGGAAUUCCCGGUGUAGCGGUGAAAUGCGCAGAUAUCGGGAGGAACACCAAUGGCGAAGGCAGCUCGCUGGGACGUGACUGACGCUGAGACGCGAAAGCGUGCGAGCAAACAGG